UCCCUCUCCAGACACUGUCCCUCUCUGCCUCCUCUGCCUCCUCUCCAGACACUGUCCCUCUCUGCCUCCUCUCCUCCCUCUCCAGACACUGUCCCUCUCUGCCUCCUCUCCUCCCUCCCUCCAGACACUGUCCCUCUCUCUGCCUCCUCUCCUCCCUCUCCAGACACUGUCCCUCUCUCUGCCUCCUCUCCUCCCUCUCCAGACACUGUCACUCUCUCUGCCUCCUCUCCUCCCUCUCCAGACACUGUCCCUUCUGUUUAUGUGAGUAUGUAUAUAGCCUACUGUGUGUAUCCGUUCUCUGUGAGUGUGUCUAUAGCCUACUGUGUGUAUCCGUUCUCUGUGAGUGUGUCUAUAGCCUACUGUGUGUAUCCGUUCUCUGUGAGUAUACUGUAAAACUGUGUCAAAACACACUACUACUAUCACCACUAACCCCAACGUUACCCUGACGUUUGUACAGUUUCAUUGUUGUAUCUUCUCUAACUGUUGUUGUUGUUGUUGAUUGCACUGGAUGAAAUCUCAUAGAGCGAAAUUGAUUGGAGAAAAAAAACAGAUUGUUCUGGAAAAACAGAAGAGGAGGAGGAGGAGUGCACAUGUAUUGUUUGCACUGUGUUUGUUUUUCUACUGGCUAGCCUUGGUUCUGUUCUGAGCUGUGUUUGUUUUUCUACUGGAUAGCCUUGGUUCUGUUCUGAUAAAUACAGCACUGUGUUUGUUUUUCUACUGGCUAGCCUUGGUUCUGUUCUGAUAAAUACAACACUGUGUUUGUUUUUCUACUGGCUAGCCUUGGUUCUGUUCUGAUAAAUACAGCACUGUGUUUGUUUUUCUACUGGCUAGCCUUGGUUCUGUUCUGAUAAAUACAGCACUGUGUUUGUUUUUCUACUGGCUAGCCUUGGUUCUGUUCUGAUAAAUACAGCACUGUGUUUGUUUUUCUACUGGCUAGCCUUGGUUCUGUUCUGAUAAAUACAGCACUGUGUUUGUUUUUCUACUGGCUAGCCUUGGUUCUGUUCUGAGCUGUGUUUGUUUUUCUUGGUUCUGUUCUGAGCUGUGUUUGUUUUUCUACUGGAUAGCCUUGGUUCUGUUCUGAGCUGUGUUUGUUUUUCUACUGGCUAGCCUUGGUUCUGUUCUGAUAAAUACAACACUGCAAUUCGCUGACUCCACGCCUCACUGUCUCUUUAUUGUAACGGUUUUCUUGAGGUGAAGGAGAGGCGGACCAAAACGCAACGUGGUGGUUAUUCAUGGUUCUUUAAUAUAGACACUAUACAUGAAUAAACUAACAAAACAAGACAUGUGGAAAAACCAAAACAGCCCUAUCUGGUGCAAACACAGA
ensembl:lncRNA